rnacentral:rRNA from 1 species
CGAAGGACGAACGCUGGCGGCGUGCCUAACACAUGCAAGUCGAACGGAGCGAGUUUGACAGAACUCUUCGGAGGGAAGACAAGCAAGCUUAGUGGCGGACGGGUGAGUAACGCGUGAGCAACCUGCCUUUCAGAGGGGGACAACAGUUGGAAACGACUGCUAAUACCGCAUAACGUUGCGAUGGGGCAUCCCAAUGCAACCAAAGAUUUAUCGCUGAAAGAUGGGCUCGCGUCUGAUUAGAUAGUUGGUGGGGUAACGGCCUACCAAGUCGACGAUCAGUAGCCGGACUGAGAGGUUGAACGGCCACAUUGGGACUGAGAUACGGCCCAGACUCCUACGGGAGGCAGCAGUCGGGAAUAUUGCGCAAUGGAGGAAACUCUGACGCAGUGACGCCGCGUGCAGGAAGAAGGUUUUCGGAUUGUAAACUGCUUUAGACAGGGAAGAUACAAGACAGUACCUGUAGAAUAAGCUCCGGCUAACUACGUG